AGUGAACGCUGGCGGUAGGCCUAACACAUGCAAGCCGAACGGCAGCACAGUAAGAGCUUGCUCUUACGGGUGGCGAGUGGCGGACGGGUGAGGAAUACAUCGGAAUCUACUUUUUCGUGGGGGAUAACGUAGGGAAACUUACGCUAAUACCGCAUACGACCUACGGGUGAAAGCAGGGGAUCUUCGGACCUUGCGCGAUUGAAUGAGCCGAUGUCGGAUUAGCUAGUUGGCGGGGUAAAGGCCCGCCAAGGCGACGAUCCGUAGCUGGUCUGAGAGGAUGAUCAGCCACACUGGAACUGAGACACGGUCCAGACUCCUACGGGAGGCAGCAGUGGGGAAUAUUGGACAAUGGGCGCAAGCCUGAUCCAGCCAUACCGCGUGGGUGAAGAAGGCCUUCGGGUUGUAAAGCCCUUUUGUUGGGAAAGAAAAGCAGCAGGUUAAUACCCCGCUGUUCUGACGGUACCCAAAGAAUAAGCACCGGCUAACUUCGUG
rnacentral:rRNA from 1 species